ACCUGUUUGGCAUGAGGACAAAAAGGGUUAGAAGAAAUGAUGUUUAAGGAAAGCUGAAAGUAAAAGAGAAGUUGUUUACAGUUGUGGUACAAAAGCCAUGGCUGAAGAUCUCCUGGGCCUCUUGAUGUACACAGUAGAUUCUGGUCAAAAUUUAAAGCACCCAGCAGAAUGUCCUAAGUUAGCU